rfam:Calocera cornea HHB12733 unplaced genomic scaffold CALCOscaffold_125, whole genome shotgun sequence.
GUCCCCGUGGCCUAAUGGUUAAGGCGUCGGAUUCCGAAUCCGGAGGCUGCGAGUUCGAGUCUUGCCGGGGACU